CUUGCCCCUCAAGGCAUUAUGUCUGUGGCUGCUGUGUCACAUGUGUGUCAGUAGGUGGCAGAGAGGAGAGAGGCUAUGUCUAUGCUCAGUGUCCUGACCUGUGACCAUCUGAGUGAUUAGUAACCUAACAGU